GCGCAGGUGGGUGGGGCAGCCCUUGUGUGUACUGGUGGGUGGGGCAGCCCUUGUGUGCGCAGGUGGGUGGGGCAGCCCUUGUGCAUAAUACUGGUGACCGGGGGCCACCUUAGAUUCACUGUCCAGGUGGUGAUCAACGCAUGCUGGCACAGGGAAAAUAAAUCACCGGAAGUACUUUCUCACGAGAUUUUGCGAGAACGUCACAAUUCGUACGACGCGUUUUAUAAGUAUAUGCGCGUAUUUCGCAGCACUGGGUGGCAUGGGUGGGUGGCAUGGGUGGGUAUCAGUGCCCUUCGUUUACCGCAUCGGCCGGGGGAAAAUACAUACUCGUGUCGAAGCUGCACACGGCUUUGUAAACGCCCUCGCGUGGAACCAUCUACCGUAUUCGCCGGCCCAUGACAGUUAGUGGUGCUCCUGAUGCUAAUCAUACAGACAAAGAGAGAGAGAUAGAGAGAGAGAGAGAGCGAGAGAGAGUGAGAUAGACAAUCCGUGCACACGUCGAUUCGAACUAGAGAUGCUACCAUUCGUAGAGAUUCACAACUAGAGAUGCUACCAUUCGUAGAGAUCCACAACUAGAGAUGGUAUUAUUCGUAGAGAUUCGAAACUAGAGAUGCUAUUAUUCGUAGAGAUUCAAAACUAGAGAUGCUACCAUUCGUAGAGCUUCGAAACUAGAGAUGCUGUUAUUCGUAGAGAUUCGAAACUAGAGAUGCUGUUAUUCGAUCGUAGAGACUCCAUGCUGUCCUCCGCAAGAUAAUUAUUUAUUUUUCUGUUGGUUUGGUGUUACUAAAACAUACAAAUGUUCUGUAAAUAUUGUUUGAAAACGAGUAUUACGAUGAAAAUACCAAUAUUUAUAUGCGUAGCUAACACAGUAACAAGUUUAGACUAUCGGUUUUGGUAAAUCAUGCGAAGCCCACUGAUUCACUGAGUCAUUGUUUUCAGCACUUCCGAAAUCACACCGACUUUUAUGCCUCGGCGCAUAGGUCGUCGUGAUUAUUGGAAACAUGUUAAUGACAUAAAAGUGUGUUCUUGUAAGGCCGGCAGAUACGGUAUGUUUCCCGUGAGGUGCGGAUGGUUGGGGUGGGGUUGGGUGGGUGGUGUUGGGUGAGAACAAACCUUUCCUCUUGUUGGGAGGGUGAAGGGCGUUAUGGUUUAGGAAAUGUCAUUACUAAUUUUCGAAACGAGAUUGCAGACGAUUAUUUAAUUUCCUUGCUUCUCUACUAAGAAUGUAUUGAAUCACGUGACGUCAGUGUAUGUAACCGAUCUGCGUGGGGUCGGUGAGAGAUCUUCAACAGAUCUGUUCCGCAGGUAGCAGGUCUGUCACGUCUGUAGUAGAUCUACAACAUAUCUGGAUUGUGUCUAUAACAGAUAUGCAUCGGAUGUGUAUUGUGUCUGCAACAGAUCUGCAUUAUGUCUAUCACAGGUCUGCAAGAGAUCUGUAACAGGUCUGCAAGAGAUCUGUAACAGAUCUGUAACAGGUCUGUAACAGAUCUGUAACAGGUCUGUAACAGAUCUGCAAGAGAUCUGUAACAGGUCUGUAGCAGGUCUGCAUACGGACUGUAACAGAACUGUGACGGACGUGUAACAGAACGGUUCUGCUAGUGUGUAAUUUUCAUUGUAAUGCGACAGGUGUGCGUGCGAUGUAAUGGUACGGGAACACAUACAGGUAUUACGAGUUCCGUAAGCAGCGUCUGCAGCAGAACUUCGUACGUGUAACGCGUGUGCCCCCUCCGUGUACACAGGUGUAAGAGGUGUAGCGGGUAUAUAUACGGCAUAAGCGGUAAACGCGUGGCGGGCCGCGUGUGCGUGUCGAGUCACAUCUAUAGUCGAGUCCUCGUCGUGCCGGAAAUGUCGUCUUCACGGUGUCAACGAGAGUAGUUGACGUGCAACAUGUCACGUCGCGUGUCACGUCGCACGUCAUGACAUGUUUCGUGCACUCGUGCCCUCGCCCGACACGAUUGCGUGAUGGAUCUUUUAUUUGAUUCUGAUGCGUAGCGAAUAAGUGGCGACUGUGUCUGAAAGCCGCGUGACGUGUUGACGGGAUGACGGGAUCAGGCGCGGUAAUAUGUCCUAGGAGUGAGAAAAGUUGCCGCGGUCCAAUUUCACGAGCGGAAGGUGUCUGUACGAUGUAUUAAUGUACAAUAAAGUUGGUUUGAAAAGGAG
rnacentral:lncRNA from 1 species